rnacentral:rRNA from 1 species
AAUAUGAAGGCCAGGCUGAAGACUUUGCCGGAUUAGCUGAGAGGUGGUGCAUGGCCGUCGUCAGUUCGUACUGUGAAGCAUCCUGUUAAGUCAGGCAACGAGCGAGACCCACGCCCACAGUUGCCAGCGUACUCUCCGGAGUGACGGGUACACUGUGGGGACCGCCGCUGCUAAAGCGGAGGAAGGAAUGGGCAACGGUAGGUCAGUAUGCCCCGAAUAUCCCGGGCUACACGCGAGCUACAAUGGUUGGUACAAUGGGUAUCUACCCCGAAAGGGGACGGAAAUCUCCUAAAACCAAUCUUAGUUCGGAUUGAGGGCUGCAACUCGCCCUCAUGAAGCUGGAAUCCGUAGUAAUCGCGUUUCAACAGAACGCGGUGAAUACGUCCCUGCUCCUU